GAAAUGCGAUAAGUAAUGUGAAUUGCAGAAUUCAGUGAAUCAUCGAAUCUUUGAACGCACCUUGCGCUCCUUGGUAUUCCUUGGAGCAUGCCUGUUUGAGUAUCAUGAAAUCUUCAAAGUAAAUCUUUUGUUAACUCAAUUGGUUUCUACUUUGGUAUUGGAGGUCUUUGCAGCUUCACACCUGCUCCUCUUUGUUCAUUAGCUGGAUCUCGGUGUUAUGCUUGGUUCCACUCGGCGUGAUAAGUUAUCUAUCGCUGAGGACACUGUAAAAGGUGGCCAAGGUAAAUGCAGAUGAACCGCUUCUAAUAGUCCAUUGACUUGGACAAUACUUUUAUGAUCUGAUCUCAAAUCAGGUAGUACUACCCGCUGAACUUAAGC
rnacentral:misc_RNA from 1 species